rnacentral:rRNA from 1 species
UGACCUCAAAUCAGGUAGGACUACCCGCUGAACUUAAGCAUAUCAAUAAGCGGAGGAAAAGAAACUAACAAGGAUUCCCCUAGUAACUGCGAGUGAAGCGGGAAAAGGCUCAAAUUUGAAAUCUGGCGGUC